AUAAAAGGCUCUGAUGUUUUUUCUGUAUUUUAUUUUGUAAUAUUGGUUUAGAGGUCAUUUUGGGAAGUGACGUAAGCCUGAGUUAGUACUGAGCUAACGCUCAUGAGGGCAACCUAACAUAACUUCCGGGUCAGUUCACUGCAUUCUCCAACCGUGAGACUGCAUUCCCGGUGUAGCACUGAGAAAUGAUGCUCCGAGUUGAUGACAGAAAACUGCUGGCAACACUGAGUAUCAAGGUGGAAUAAACCAGCUCACAUCUACAAGUUUGGUCUCAUGCUCUCCUUCCUGUAUCCUGACCGAUACACCAUCUUGUUGGCUGCAAAUACCCACGAACUUAACCCACAUUAACACAGAUUUCUCAUCUGGAAUAACCAGAAUAUCCUUUGGACAAUGAGACAACAAUCCACUUAUUCUGGAGGUUUUCCUUCCGUGUUUCUUUCUGGAAAGAUGUUGUUAUAUUCAGUCUCAUCCUCAGUAGUUUUCACUUUUAUACACAGAUGUACUUUUUAGUUUCUACAAUGUCUGCCCUGCUAAUAAGAACAAAUUUUAUGUAAUUAAUCUAUUAUUAAUUCUAGCUAAAUUUCAUAACCAUAAAUGCAAAUUUUCUGCUAAGAAGUCUCUGUUUUAUCUGAAUUACUACAGUAUUCAGGAACUAUACGGACCUCUUUCAGUCCUAAAGCUGUAAAGACUCUUGAAGCCUUAAACUGUAUUCCCUGAAACACUGUCUUAUCUCUAUUUGUGAACCUUGUAUUCCAAUUUCUGUUUUUUUUUUUUUAUUUCUUGUGGUCCCUGGCAUUAUUUCAUUAUCCCCUGUUCUGUAUUGU